CGCUUUCUGGAAAGAUCCGGUGUCCAAAGCUUCGGCGCCCGAGGAUGGGGCUGCGGCCGAUUAGGUUGUUGGCGGGGUAACAGCCCACCAAGCCGACGAUCGGUACGGGCAGUGAGAGCUGUAGCCCGGAGAUGGGGACUGAGACAAGGCCCCAGGCCCUACGGGGCGCAGCAGGCGCGAAACCUUCACAAUGCUCGAAAGAGUGAUGAGGGUACUCCGAGUGCCUAUGCUUUGCAUAGGCUUUUCCCCAGCGUAAAUAGUUGGGGGAAUAAGGGCUGGGCAAGACCGGUGCCAGCCGCCGCGGUAACACCGGCAGCCCAAGUGGUGACCGUUUUUAUUGGGCCUAAAGCGUCCGUAGCCGGAUAGGCAAGUCUUUGGGUAAAUCCUACGUCUCAAGCGUGGGAAUUCUAAAGAUACUACCUGUCUUGAGGCCGGUAGAGGCUGGAGGUACUUCUGGGGUAGGGGUAAAAUCCUAUAAUCCCGGGGGGACCACCGAUGGCGAAGGCAUCCAGCUGGAACGGGCCUGACGGUGAGGGACGAAACCCAGGGGAGCGAGCCGGAUUAGAUACCCGGGUAGUCCUGGGUGUAAAUGAUGUGGGCUUGGUGUGAGGGCAUCGACGAGGUGCCCCUGUGCCGUAGGGAAGCCGUUAAGCCCACCGCCUGGGGAGUACGGUCGCAAGGCUGAAACUUAAAGGAAUUGG
rnacentral:rRNA from 1 species